UCGGAUUGUAGUCUGCAACCCGACUACAUGAAGCUGGAAUCGCUAGUAAUCGCGGAUCAGAAUGCCGCGGUGAAUACGUUCCCGGGUCUUGUACACACCGCCCGUCACACCAUGGGAGUCGGGAACACCCGAAGUCCGUAGCCUGACCGCAAGGGGGGCGCGGCCGAAGGUGGGUUCGAUAAUUGGGGUGAAGUCGUAACAAGGUACC
rnacentral:rRNA from 1 species